CAGUCGCCGCGGUAAUACGUAGGUGGCAAGCGUUGUCCGGAAUUAUUGGGCGUAAAGGGCUCGCAGGCGGUUUCUUAAGUCUGAUGUGAAAGCCCCCGGCUCAACCGGGGAGGGUCAUUGGAAACUGGGAAACUUGAGUGCAGAAGAGGAGAGUGGAAUUCCACGUGUAGCGGUGAAAUGCGUAGAGAUGUGGAGGAGCACCAGUGGCGAAGGCGACUCUCUGGUCUGUAACUGACGCCGAGGAGCGAAAGCGUGGGGAGCGAGCAGGAUUAGAUACCCCCGUAGUCCCUGUCUCUUAUAC
rnacentral:rRNA from 1 species